CGUGUGGCUCCAGCUCCAGUCUUGUCUCAGUGCUGUGACUUGUUUGCAGUGCUGCUCUUAAGCAUACAUGCAGGACAAUGGAUCAAGUGUCAACAAGAUACCAACAAAUAAUAUAGAUGUCCAAGAAGAUAUCAACAUCAGUGAGGCAAAAGAAAACAAUGGGGAGCAAGAGCUUAAGUUAAAAAAAUGAAGAAAAAUCGAAGACUGUCUGAAGAUUCAACUAUUAAAGUUCACAUUCAGGAAAAUCAAAAUAAGAAGAUCAGGGAAGCAAAAGACAAAAAUGUAGAGCAAGAGGAUAAGUCCUUGAAAAAAAUGAAGAAACACCAACCUUCUCAAGAUACAACUGUGACAGAGCAUCAAAUCAUGUAGAUGGUAGGGCAAGUACCUUGAGGUGCUUCCAGGGCUUAGCGUCCCCGCGGCUCGAUCGUCAACCAGGCCUCCUGGUUGCUGGACUGAUCAACCAGGCUGUUGGAUGCGGCUGC